rnacentral:rRNA from 1 species
GUGAGGAAUUUUCCGCAAUGGGCGAAAGCCUGACGGAGCAAUGCCGCGGGAAGGAUGAAGGCCUAUGGGUUGUAAACUUCUUUUCUCAGAAAAGAAUUAUGACGGUAUCUGAGGAAUAAGCAUCGACUAACUCUGUGCCAGCAGCCGCGGUAAGACAGAGGAUGCAAGCGUUAUACGGACUGAUUGGGCGUAACGCGUAUGUGGGUUGUUUAAACAGUAUUCUGUCAAAGAUUAGUGCGUAACCCUAGAGAGGCAGAAUAAACUUUUAAGCUAGAGUUUGGGAGAGGCGGAGAGAAUACCCGGUGGAGCGGUGAAAUGCGUAGAUAUCGGGAGGAACAACAAAGGCGAGGGCACUCUGCUGGGCCAAUACUAACACUGAGAGACGAAAGCGAGGGGAGCAAAUGGGAUUAGAUACCCGUGUAGUCC